UGUCACUUAGGGUCAUCUUAUCUUGCUCAUGGAAUAUUCAGCUCGUUUGUUUCUCUUGUUUGCCAUUCAUCUCUUGAGCUUUUCACAGCCAGGCAAUUUUAUCCAGAACAACCUGAAGAGGUAGGAAGACUCCAGUCGCUUC
rfam:Procavia capensis cont1.225306, whole genome shotgun sequence.